rnacentral:rRNA from 1 species
ACUCCUACGGGAGGCAGCAGUAGGGAAUCUUCCACAAUGGACGAAAGUCUGAUGGAGCAACGCCGCGUGAGUGAAGAAGGGUUUCGGCUCGUAAAACUCUGUUGUUAAAGAAGAACAUAUCUGAAAGUAACUGUUCAGGUAUUGACGGUAUUUAACCAGAAAGCCACGGCUAACUACGUGCCAGCAGCCGCGGUAAUACGUAGGUGGCAAGCGUUGUCCGGAUUUAUUGGGCGUAAAAGCGAGCGCAGGCGGUUUUUAAGUCUGAUGUGAAAGCCUUCGGCUCAACCGAAGAAGUGCAUCGGAAACUGGGAAACUUGAGUGCAGAAGAGGACAGUGGAACUCCAUGUGUAGCGGUGAAAUGCGUAGAUAUAUGGAAGAACACCAGUGGCGAAGGCGGCUGUCUGGUCUGUAACUGACGCUGAGGCUCGAAAGUAUGGGUAGCAAACAGGAUUAGAUACCCCUGGUAGGAUAGCG